UUUAUAAAUCGAUACAAAGAACCACAAAAUAUGAACAACUCUUCCUUUUGAUUAUUUCGUUAUCCUCAAACAAUUCUUCGAUACACACGAACAGAGUCUCUUACUUCUUUUUCAGGGGUGUCCAUGAUGAAUGAAGCUACAGGCGGUCCUCCACGGCUUCAUGUUUACCAUUUGCCUCCGUAAGUCCUUCUACAUCUCCUUCAUCAUCUCUGUAGCUUUCUUCGGCGAACUGGUAAGAGAUAUAAACCUUUGUUUUACAUAUUCUUAAAGUUUUAUAUCUCCAGAUUUGUUUUGUGAUUAAUACGGCAACUAUUCUCUAUCUACAUUAGAGAGCGAGAGACAAUAAUUGAUUGUUUUUAGGGUUUGGAAGUCAUGACUUCCAUGAAUUAGUGAAGACCGGGCUGAUAGAUAAAGUAAGCAGAUGAUUCCUCAUGUUUUUAUUAUUUACUGGAGCAAAUACUCAGAAUUCCGCAAGUGCAAUUCAUAGCUGGGAGAUCCUACCAGCGAAAUUCAAACAUAGACCUUCAACUUAGUCCUGCUUCCCAUUGUUCUAGAGUUAUUUGUGCUGGAAAACCGUGAAGAUCCUGUCAUAAGAAAAAAAAUAACAGUGAAUAUCUCUAUAUCUGUUGUGAGGUACAUCAAAUGCUUUAGCUAAAUUAAAAAAAAAUAUAUUUCAUUUCUUAUUGAUGGCGGGUUAGAAUAAGAACUCAGCUCAAUCUAUGGAUUUCGAUUGAAAUCUCUAGAGACCUUCUACUCGAAAAUAUGAAUUUAAUCAAAUCUUAUUCAAGGCUUCUUAAAGAAGAUGAAUUGAAUCAAAUCUAAUUUAAGAUAUAAAGCAAAAACUAGUUUAUGAAUUGAAUCAAAUCUCUUUUGAGAAUCCUACGGAUUCUAGGGAUCACGAUUUGCUGCUUGGCCUAACCAAUACGGACACACAUCUUCUAGUUAGUGACAUUCUCCAUGGAAAAGAACGUGUCAUGGCAACUAGCAGACUGGGCAGUGAUGAAUCUGUGAUUCUGAGUCUGUUUGACUUGCAAGCUGUGUCAUUUGCUAACAAGUGGAAAGCUUCCGGGAUGAUCCAAGGUUUUCUGUUGCAACUAGCAUAAAUCCGAAGACUGUAGGAGGUGUCACCUUUAUAAAUUAAGACUCUCUCUAUGUAUGCCCUUUUUAAAUUAGGGUUUUAGUCAAUAAGAGAUGAAAGGUGAUCAAAGACUAAUUUACCUCACCUUACCAUAUAAUGUA